UCUGAUAAUGAACAUUUAAUAAUGAACUGAAGGUGCUAAAUGUGGCAAAACAAACAUCAAUAAUGAUGACAUGUAUUACCUUGUACCUCCUAUCCACUGUAAGAAAUGUCUGGUGUCUGAACAACAGCUUUAGUGAGCAUUUGGGUACCACCUGUUAUUAUUAUCUUAAAAGUAUAUAUGGGGUCUCAUUUGCUAAGUCAUGUUUGUGACUUUUCUACAUAUUUUGUGACUUUCUGUCCAGUGACGUUUAUCCUGUGACUUUUUGUCCGUAUACCAAACAUGAAUCCUAUUUUGACUAAUUUCGUGAAACUGAAACGUGUCCUUUGUAAGCAAUUAUAGUUGGGGCAUAAGUGAACAGAUAUACGUUGACCUUGAAAAUAAAUAAAUAGAUAUUAGGUAAAUAAAGACGAAAAAAGGCGCCAGACGUUAGUUUUGUUGUCUUAUGGUUUUUAUUGGGAAUAAGAAGGAUGGCACGAUCCCUUAUGCCUGCUGGUUCCUAUACACGAUCCUGCUAUAUGUACAUGUAUAUAGAGUCUAGUUGGUUAAAUUUUAACACAAAAAGAAUUAUCUCGUAAUAGGAAAGUCUUCCACUUUUGUACAAAAACACCCAAAGUAAACCUCCAAGUUGUAUACAGUAGAUGUGUGGUUGUUCGCAUAUCGGAGAUAAUUUGAAUUCAGAUAAUCAGAAAAUAUAUUUGAAAUAAAAGAGGGUGAGAGAAGAAACAUACUAUACAAAAUAGAUAAAUAAAUAAUAAAACAAUGUUGAAUAUGUGCCUACGUAUUGUUCGUAAAUUGGGCGAGUGGUAUUUGUACUUAUGAUUACGAAGGUUGGUCACGGUAGAAUAACCUGGUGUUAUUUUAUUUACAGGUAAUUGUUUACACCUGCACGUUAAUCCAAGUUUAAGGCGUCUAGCUGUGCCUUGUUCACACCUGUUGUCAUGUGAUUAAAAUAUAAAAGAUGACUUGGGAAUUGUUAUGGAGAUAACACUAUUGUAAAUAUGCUUUGAAUAAACAGCCAUUGUUUUCAAGUUGUUUAUUCGUUAUUAGAUAUCUUAGACAUAAUUCAGAAAUCUUAUGCAUUAAAAUAUCAAUUUUGGAGUUGGAUAAUACAAGUUAAUUUGUAUCUUUCAAGUUAUGAUGUGCAUACGAAACAGAAAACUGAGAAGGGGGUUUAUUAUUACUAUGGAUUUAAAACCAGUAGGACACCGCUUCGAGUUAAAUACCACGCAUGCGCAGAAGCCGGUGAUCCGAGUCGUUCUUUUCCCUAUAUAUUCUAUUAAGAGCGACCCUGAGCACCAGCGACCGCCACCACGGUUACACCGUUGAAUGUCCUUGCCAGUCUCCAAGGGGGUAGUGAUGCUGCAAAAAUAUGCAGAAAGAUAAUGCGGACAUGCAUGACAAAUGGAUGCAUGAGCCAGUUCAGUGGCACUGGCCAAAAGGGCAAGGCUAGAUUUAUGGACACCAAAUUAUUUACUAUUGUUAUAGGUGCUGGAAGAAAAGCUUAAAAAAAAAACAAAUUUUAGUGGAAGAACUAAAGAAUGAGGUGUUUGAGGUGUUAAGAAGUGCCCCGAAUAAACCAGGAGGCUCCAAUUACAUGAAGAAACAAAAGGAAAAGAGGCGGAGGUGCUUGCCUGAAAUCCCAGAGGAUGACUGAUUGUGAGACGUUACAAAUUUCUACACUGUGUUUCGGAAAUCCCAGAGAACAGAGAAUGACUUACAAGACUUUAAAAAUCCCCCACUAUGUUUUUUUAAAAUCCAAUGUUACUGUUAUAUUUGCUUUUUUUUUCAUAUCUAAAUAGUAAAUAUUUUAAACUCUAAAUAAUAUCUUUUGAAUCCAUAUCUCCACAGGACAGUGGUAUUUAAAUGUCAUUUUGCAUCCAUCGUCAUUCCCACAUGCUAAAAACAAAAAUCAAAGAAUAACAGAAAAGAAAAAAGUAAACACUAAUCAAAUAAGAUUGAAUACAAUGCUUCAUAUAGUUUAUUGCAACUUUUGAAAAUAGGGAUGUUUAAAAAAUGAUAUUUUACCGUUAAAAGUGUCUUAUAACAAUGUUUUGAACACAGUUCAUAAUAUUGUUUUGAAAACAUUUCAUAAUAUUGUUUUGAAAACGUUUUGUUAUAUUAUUAUAAAACAUUUAAUUAAAAUGUUUUUAAAAUGUUUUCAAACAACGUUUUGAAAAUGCUUAAGAGAAACAUUUUGAAAACGCUUUUACAAAACGAUAAAAAAACGUUUUCGAAAACUGUUUUUCAAAACGUUUCCAUUCUGUUUCUAGUGCCAUACAAAAAAACGUUUUAAAAACAUUUUUUAAAAAUGUUUUCACGCUUUUAAAAGAAACGUUUCUAAAAUGUUUCUGUAACGUUUCUGUGUUACCUGGGUUGUAGUUACUUCAGUGUGUAUUUUUUACGACAAGUUUAAUUUUUAGAGAAUUACAUGCUCAAACAAAUGUGAUAAAAGUUGAUGAUCAGCUUAUCGUCAUAUGCUGUUCCACCCCCCACCUCUAAAUAUAUUUGACCCGGCAUGACUUUUUAGUGAGCAAAAUAUUUUCGAAGGUAAUUUGACCAGGGUUUAAUACUAGAUGAUUUAAAGAGAAGAAAUAAUGGAGUUUGAAUGAUAUCAAUGUUGUUUAUUUGUGUUUGAAUGCAUGAUGAUGCUCAUUGUACAUUGAUAAAGUGGAUUUUUAUAGGAUCCGAAACAGUGACAUGUGAGAGAGUUGAUUGGCGGGGAUUUCUACUUUUACUUUUGAGGACGCAGUAAACGGACGACAGGUGGGGAAGCUGUGCAUUUCCUUGUUGGAUGAUUUGUGUACAUGUGUGGACGUGGAUGUCAUUUCAGUGAGUUCACUUGGAUUUAAGAGGCUGAGCAAAGGCACAAAGAAAAUGUUUCCUGAGUAUAGAGUCUGAACAAAGGAUAUUGCAUCAUUCGGGAUCAGGCAAGUCUAGCUUAUUCAUUUAUUUUAUUUUAUUUAUCAUUUUUUUCCCGCUUUCUUUUUUUGAAUAAUUUUUUAUUAAUUUAUUGGUUUACAAUAUUACAGAAGGUGAAAUGUACAUGUGUAAAUCUUUCUGUGUAUGUGUAUUUGUUUUAAUUGGGGGGGGGGGGUAUUAUCACUUUGUGUAGAGUGUCAAUUUUGUGUAUUGCUUAAAGAUCAGUACCAGUGCCCAAAUGUUGAACAUUGAGCAGAUAUGUAAAUUGGCGCUUGGUUGGUUCAUGCAGUCCUCCUUGACAUUGACAGAGCUUUCCCACGGAGACUGUUUCUCCAAGUUAUGCGUAGAGUGUCGGUCAUCUAUCUGUGUAUCGCAAGUACUUGGUGCAGACAGCUAUCAUUCUGAAUCCCGUGAAGGAAGGGGAUAUAGACUUCCUUUGGAAUGAUGUACAUACUCAAUGUUGCGUCACUUGUGGAGACCCACAUCUUGAAGAGUGACCUCGACUUUUGACCUUGACCCCAUUUUUAAGUCAACCACUUAAGACCCUUUGGAGGAGAAAGUGAUCUUGACCUUUGACCUUGACCCACUUUCAAGGUCAUUCAAGGUAAACAAUCCUAGAAUAUCAUGUGACUACUCCUAAAGAUGUACAUAUAUGUAGAUGGAGCUUUAUGAUAUAAAACGUCAUUUUUCGGCCCCUAUUUGCCCCCUGGGGCCAAUAUGAAAAUUCCAAAACCUUAUUGCACAUCUACAGGACAUUACUAUUCAGCUCCUUGAAUAUCAUGCGACUAUUCCUAAAGAUGUAGAUGGAGUUUAAGUGACAAGCUUUGUGAUAGAAAACGUCAUUUUUCGGCCCCUAUUUGCCCCCUGGGGCCAAUAUGAAAAUUCCAAAACCUUAUUGCACAUCUACAGGACACCAGCAAUCAUCUUCCUAAAGAUUAUUAGGCUACUGUGUAAAAUGUAGGAGUUCUGGGAACCAGGGUUUCUUUGUACAAAAUCGUCAUUUUUCGACCCCUAUUUGAUCCCUAGGGUGAAAAUGAAAAUUCCAAAACCUUAUUGCACAUCUACAGGGCACCAGCAAUCAUUUUUCAAAAGAUUAUUAGGCUACUGUGUAAAUUGUAAGAGGAGUUCUGGGAACCAGGGUUGUGUUAAAAAGCAUCAUUUUCGACCCCCAUUUGACCCCUAGGGUGAAAAUGAAAAUUCCGAAACCUUAUUGCACAUCUUCCAAAAGAUGAUUGGGCUACUGCAUGAAAUGUAGGAGUAGUUCAGGGAACCAGGUUUUUGUUGAAAAAACGUCAUUUUUUGACCCCCGUUUUGCCCCCAGAGUAAAAUUGAAUAUUCUAAAACCUUAUCAUAUAUCUACAAUACAUCACCUAUCAUAUUCCAAAAGAUCAAUUGGUUACCACUUGAAAAAAAAAAGGAGCAGUUUGAGGAAGAAGAAAGUGUGACAGACGGACGGACGGACCAGGGUAACAACAAUAUACCCGAACUUUCUUUAGAAAGUGCGGGUAUAAUCAGUGUGUCAAGAACGGUCUAACAAUCGGUAUGAAACACGUCAGACAGCAUUUAAAGGGGACCUAUACUCGGCCUACGUCACAAUCAAAUGUAAAUGCGGAACCACGCUUCCGUUUUCCGAAAUGUGAUACUUUAAAGAUUAGCCUGGUUCCCGAGGCCUUCCGAUGUGCAAGCACGAAGGCCAGGCACUCACUGUCGAAUGGAUUCUUCCACUGAUCAAAAUCCAACAUGGCGGACUCAAUGAUAAUUUUCCAUACAUAUGGAAAGAAACAUAUGAUAGUGGGUGAAAAAACACCCUCAUAUAUAAUGCUUCAUGAAUAUGCAAAACCAUGCCAACAGUCUACAGACUCCAGGUGGAAAGAGAUGGAGAAAGAAUUUCUAAAGGGGUAUUCAAGGACCCAUCCUCCUCCACACUAAUUCAUAUUGGAAGGAAUUGACAUCCAACUUGAAUAAAGAAUUACAGACUUCCAGAACAGGUGCAUCAUGCAGAUCCUUUUAAAAAGGAGAGGCCAGAUCUUCAGAUGACUUUAUUGAAAAUGAGAAAUUUCUGAGUCGAAGUGACGAUUGUGGCAUGCAUACAAGCAGACAUCAGCAUUCCCUCCCUCUUGUUUGUAUCAGAGGUGAGCUUUUUGAGAAAGACUCAUGGAGGAAGUUUGAGAGUGUCAGUUCUCAGAUCAAAAAGUUAGCUAGCAGUAGGAGGAGUAACAAUUCAUUCCACAGUAUGACAUGAGAAAUACAUGACUAGAAAGACCUUAAAAAGGAGAUUUGUCAUUGUUUCAUGUGGAGAUUAAAGAACCUUCGAAAUAUAUAACACAGACAUGUUUCAGUUACUUGGGGAUAACACUUAUGAGGAAUUUUGCUAACUUUCAGAUUGGAAUGUGUUGCACAAGAAAUGCUUGAUCACAACCCUCUUCUGUUAAAAACCUUUUCCAUGCAAAUAAUUAGUGUAAAUGAAAUUUAGCUAUUUCAUUAGUAAACAUGUUUUCUGCGCAAGUGUGUGUCUUUGACAUUAAAUGCUAUGAUAUUGUCGUAUUCUUAAACAAUGGAAGAUCUCUACUAGUUCUUUCAAAGGAAAGCCAACAACAGGAAUCGAACCUGUUCCUCCAUCAUACAGAUACGAAAGUGUGCACCAUUACACCAUGUUGGCAUACAUUAAGAACUGGUAGCCUUGGAGAGUAAAUAUUACAUUAUUCUGUACAGUUGAUACUGGUUUGUGUAUAUAUAAUGUAUGCCUCAUGUUUGGUAGUCGUCAAUAAAGCAUUUGAAUUGAA